rnacentral:rRNA from 1 species
UACCAGCUCUCCGAGUUGUAGGGAUGAUUAUUGGGCUUAAAGCGUCCGUAGCUGGCUUAGCAAGUCUCCUGUUAAAUUCAGCGACCUAAUCGUUGAGCCGCGGGAGAUACUACUAGGCUAGGAGGCGGGAGAGGUCGACGGUACUUUCGGGGUAGGGGUGAAAUCCUAUAAUCCCGGGAGGACCACCAGUGGCGAAGGCUGUCGACUAGAACGCGCUCGACGGUGAGGGACGAAAGCUGGGGGAGCGAACCGGAUUAGAUACCCGGGUAGUCCCAGCUGUAAACUAUGCGGGCUAGGUGUUGGGGUGGCUACGGGCCACUUCAGUGCCGCAGGAAAGCCAUUAAGCCCGCCGCCUGGGGAGUACGGCCGCAAGGCUGAAACUUAAAGGAAUUGGCGGGGAGCACCACAAGGCGUGAAGCUUGCGGUUC